rnacentral:rRNA from 1 species
CUACGGAGGGUGCAAGCGUUAAUCGGAAUUACUGGGCGUAAAGGGCGCGUAGGCGGUCUAUCAAGUCAGGUGUGAAAUCCCACGGCUCAACCGUGGAGGUGCAUCUGAAACUGAUAGACUUGAGUAUGAGAGAGGAAAGUGGAAUUCCCGGUGUAGAGGUGAAAUUCGUAGAUAUCGGGAGGAACACCAGUGGCGAAGGCGACUUUCUGGACCAAUACUGACGCUGAGGCGCGAAAGCGUGGGGAGCAAACAGAAUUAGAAACCCCAGUAGUCC